CCAGAGCUGGAGAGAGAACCCAGGAGUCCUGGCUCCCAGCCCCCUGCUCUGACUAGACCCCACUCCCUUCCCAAAGCUGGGGAGGGAACCCAGGUGUCUUGCGCCCCUCUCCAGCACACUCUGCCCCCCAUUUAUCUCUGAUAGGGUUAAAACACACUCUGCACUCAUGUGACAAGCCAACAGCAGCCACUUUCCUGUAAUUUACUCACCAAAUCACCGCCAUGUUGGGUCGUGGUCCGGCACUGUAGACCGGGGGUUUCUGUCCGGGAGUCCAGCUCUGCUCUGUGGCUGUCGCGUAGCUCUUCUGAGGUAUCUUUGCCUGUCAGACAUCCCCUCUCCUCCCCCCCAAAUGGUAGUCAAGAUAAUUAUAGAUUAAAACCAAGAGAUGACGCCCACUGGGGAGCUUUCACUGUUACAGCUGGUGAGAAGGUGUGAAAAUUGGACAGGCUGGCGAGGUGAAAAAACCAGGGUGAAAAAACAACAUUGGUGUGACUUUCACUUGUGUAAACUUCCCCUUUUCAGCCCAUGUUUUUUGUUGGUCAGUUUUCCCCAGAGAUUGGUCACGACGGCCGCAGAGCACAGAAAAGAUUGAGGCCCCUGGGGGCUCUUUUUGAGAACCUGCCGUGUGGGAGGGUGAAGAAGAAGACUUUACGGCUGUCUUGGAACUGGGGAUAGAACCCAGGAGUCCUGACUCUCAACCACCCAGGAUGGAUAGAUUGACAGUGGGUGUAUUCGGGGAUAGACAGAUGUCCUGUACAUAGUUGCACACAAGUUUCGUGUCUCAAUUCUAGCCAUCUUUUCUUUAUUUUAAUGUCUCCUGGCAGUUUGUCUUUAUUACACAAAGGGUCUCUUCUGGUCCUUGCUCCUGUGAAGGUGGUGAGAAGUAGUUGGGUGGUUCCUCGCACCAUGACUGGUGGUGGAAUGUCCACUGCAAUUUGACCUGUUUAGAACUCAUCAAUUCGUGGAGUUUCAGGGCAGAAGAAGGGAUCACUGUGAUCGGCAUGUCCCCCAGCAAUUCCUGGCCCAAGCCCCCACCUUCUGGUCGAGCAGAGCAGUUAGAAAGACAGGCCAAAGCUGGCUUUAAGGACUCCGUGUCAUGGAGAGUCCAAAAGAAUCCAGAAAUAAGGACUGCAACCCCCAAAAUACUGCAAAAUUGGGAAAGCCAGCUGGGAGUGAAUAUUUCAUCCUCAGUGAAUUUCCCCUGGAUCUGUCAGUGUCCCGGAGAGGCAGACUGAAGAGCCCAGAAUCCGAGGUGUAUGGUUUGAAAGAUGUGUUUGCACAGAAGGGCAGGGACCGGAGGAGAAAGCGCGCGUGUUGAGUUAUCUCAUCCAUCCAUGACUCAUGGAGGGCUCUUCCCUAGCUUUAACAAACGGUCUUGUCAUCAAACAGAGGAAGGGACUUAGGGAGCUGGCUUCGGUUCCCAGAUCUCCCACAGACUCCCCCUGUCACCUUGGGGAAGCCACGUCAUCUCUCCAGGACUCAGUUUCCCCAUCUGUUCAAUAACAGUACUGAUGCUCACUUCACACUGGAGAGCUGAGGAGGGCUGGACUCACACUGUGAGGCACGUGGGGAAUAUUUCUGCCUUCUAAAGGACCAGAGUCUCCUUUCAGCAUCACUUGGAAAAAACCAGAGUGAGUCCUCUGGAGUUGCUCCAGGUUUACACUGGAACAGCCAAGGUCAGAAUCCCAUUUCUCGUGUUUUUCGUCCAUCGCUCGGACACCACUUCACAAUGGAAAGUUAAAGGGCAAGAGAAGGUCUGCGACAGGCCCAUGGUCCCACAGCAGCUGGGAAUAGAACCUAAGAGUCCUGACUCCUUUCCCAGGGAAUUGGCCAUUGGGCCAGGCAGCCAUCAGGCCACAGAGGGAGGUGGAUGGACGGAUGUAGGUAGAUCAGUGGCCUGGUUUUCAGAGUUUCCCCCCUUUUGAUGGUUUCUCUCAUAUUCUCUUUCUUUUUCCAGCGACCCGCACAACGCCCUCCGUCUUCCCCCUGGUUCCCUGCUGCAGCAAGACCGGCAAUGCGCCCCCGGACACCAGCUUGGCCUGCCUCGUAACUGGCUAUUUGCCAUCACCAGUGGACAUCAAGUGGAAUUCUGGCCAAGUGACCAAGGGGGUCAAAACUUUCCCAGAGGUGACGAUGAGCAAUGGGCUCCACACCCAGAGCAGCCUGCUGAUCCCCUCUGACAGUUCCCGGCAGGGCGACCCCUACCAGUGUGACGUGACGCAUCAAGGCUCAGCAAAGACAGUGUCCGGGAAGUUCCCUCAGGAAUUGUGUGGUUUGACAAUGCCACCCCAGGUUCACCUCCUGGUCCCCACCUGCGAGGACAGCACCACAGAGAGCCAGCUAGAGCUGGUUUGCCUCCUCCUGAGCUUCAGACCCGGGAAAGCCGACGUGAAAUGGCUGGUGAAUGGAAAGGAGAGGAGCCCCCCCACCCCGGCCUUUUCCUCUGCAAUGGGCACAGAUGGCUCCUACAUGGGGCAGAGCCGUAUGACCGUCACCAGGCAGAGCUGGGAGAUGGGGGACGUCUACACCUGUCAAGUGACCCACCCAGCAGGGGGAACAGAGCUCUCCAUGCACAACGCCAGCAAGUGCUUGGGCAUCAGUAAGAAGGAGCCCACAGUCACCGUCUCCCGAGCCUACCACGAAGACAUCUCUGGGAACAGUGUCUCCUUUACUCUCAUCUGCGAAGCUAGUGGCUUUUACCCUGAAGAGAUCAGCAUGUCAUGGUUGAAGAAUAACUCCCCGGAACUCAAGUCCAGUUACAACAGUGGCCCUGUGUCAGGAAAUGGCACUUUCUCUGCCUACAGCGUCCUGAAGGUUGAGCAAAGUCAAAGAGAAGGAAAUUACGCCUGCGUGGUGCAUCACCCAGCCAUGGAAGAGCCCAAGAGGGUUGUGGAAAAGGUGUCCCUCGGUGUCAGCAACUGUAAUCGACACCCUCUGGAGGUCUCUCUCCUUCCCCCUUCCCUGGAGGACCUCUACAUAGGGCAGAACGCCACCAUCAGUUGUUUGGUGAGUGGCAUGGAAACCCCCGGCAGCCUGGAGGUCUCCUGGAACCGGGGUAGUGGGGGCCCGUUGGCCGUGGUCUCCAGGGAGCCAGUGCUGCAGGAAGAUGGCACCUACAGUGCAACCAGCAUCCUGCGGGUGUGCGUGGAGGAGUGGCAGGCGGGGGAGGAGUUCACCUGCACCGUGAAGCACCAAGACAUCCCAUCGGCCAUUGUCAAGAGCAUCCGCAAGAGUCACAUGGUUUCCCUCCGGGCCCCUUCUGUCUACAUCUCCCCUCCUCACGCUGAGGAGCUGGCUCUCCGGGAAUUGGCCACCAUCACCUGCCUGGCCUCCGGCUUCCGGCCCAGAGCCAUCUUGGUGACAUGGACCCAGCAGGACCGGCCCGUGCCCCAGGAAGCCUACACCAACAUUGGCCCCGUCCGGGAGGCUGGGAAGGAGGAGCGCUACUUCAUCUACAGCAAGCUCAAUGUCUUGGCAUCUGAAUGGGAGCGGGGGGACACGUACGCCUGCGUGGUGGGGCACGAGGGUCUGCCCAUGACCUUCAUCCACCGGAGUGUGGACAAAGCCUCCGGUAAACCCACUGCCGUCAAUGUCUCUGUGAUCUUGUCCGAUACCGACGUCACCUGCUACUGAGGAGCAGAGCCGCGUGGGCUCCUCACGGCGUAUCUGAGAUGGCCAGGGAACCUCGUGGGCUCUGGGAUUCCUCUUAGCCUGUGUGUAAAGCUGUGGGAGCUCUGGUGUACAGAGCGUGGCUGUGUGUGGAAUAUGCCCAAAUAAAAAUGCAGCAUGCCAGA